rnacentral:rRNA from 1 species
UAGGGAAUAUUGGACAAUGGGUGAAAGCCUGAUCCAGCCAUGCCGCGUGCAGGAAGACGGCCCUUUGGGUUGUAAACUGCUUUUCUCAGGGAAUAAAAAACCCAUGCGUGGGUAAUUGAAGGUACCUGAGGAAUAAGCCACGGCUAACUACGUGCCAGCAGCCGCGGUAAUACGUAGGUGGCAAGCGUUGUCCGGAUUUAUUGGGUUUAAAGGGUGCGUAGGCGGCUUUAUAAGUCCGUGGUGAAAGACGACAGCUUAACUGUCGAGGUGCCAUGGAUACUGUAGAGCUUGAGUACAGUUGAGGUAUGCGGAAUGGACAGUGUAGCGGUGAAAUGCUUAGAUAUUGUCCAGAACACCAAUAGCGAAGGCAGCAUACCAAAGUGUAACUGACGCUGAGGCA